UAAAGCAAGGUUCCAGUUGUUAUAUUAUCAUUUUCUAUCAAUUUUGAUAGUUACUAAGGAUUCUACCUGACUUGUGCCGUUAGGACUGUAAAAUUACCUGAUAACACACAGUGUGAGCCUGAAAUCUGUAUCUGUGCUAAGAGAACCACGGAAGGUCUUCUACAAAUAAACACUCAGGACUUCAGAAGUCUCUUUAAACUCUCCAGCUUUUCUAUCCCUUUCCAGCUCAAUCUACAGCCUACAAAGUCUGCAGGAUCACCCUGCUCCUUCUCUUCUUCUGGCAGUUCUUCAUGCCCAUACCCAGCCCAAUUUUUUCAGGUACAACAGUGAUAUUUCGAAGUUUUUUCCUGCACCCGUAUUCACCUCAGUGCUGCUUUCCUACUUCUGUCAUACAGUGAUGUUGUCUGUUACUUUCUGCUGCUUCUUUGCAAUUCUCAUAAUUCCCACUUAAUUGUAUAAAACAAAACAAAACAACAAAACCAACCAUACACGCAGAAGAACAACAGCAUAGCUGGGCAUAGGGCUGUAAACAGAUUUUCCAUGGUGUGGUGUCCUUAUCCUGCUGCCAAUAUCCUCUUCAAAAAGCAGAGUUCCAAUUUAAUUAAUUUUUAGUUACUGAAUUCAGGUUCUGUUAGAUUCGAUUCCAUCUGUGUUCUUCAUCUUUCUAACCCUCCAUAUAUACCACAUUGAUGUUUUUUUUCAUUUUGGUAUUUUGCUACGGAACUUUUACAAAUGGUAAUGAAGAAAUAAAAGUUCUUGUACAGAGAAUGCUGCCUGAGAUAGAAAUACAGACCUCUUUAUUUGUUACUAUUCUAGCAGUAAUUAGCUGACUUGCUCCUAAUGCCAGGAUGUUUCACUUUAGCUUGCUGUGGAAUGAUGGCAUGCACCUGAGGGAAGAUCCGAAUGUUAGUGCUUCAAGUUGCCACCUGGUGGUAUUGCACAUUGAAUGUUCUGCUCAGGGUAUGGCGAAAUCCAAAAAUAAAAUCUGAUGUCGAUGACAACUUUGUGAAUGACGGAAGAUGAUCUUGAUGUUUGUGCGGAGCACCGUCAUCCUGCUUGUGAUUUAAAUUUUAUGUUCAUAAAUGCAGAAGUAGCGAAGAUUAUGCAAACCCGUGACUAUUUAGAUUUAUUUAUACGUGACAUAUUUGUUUCCACUGUUUUGAUAGCUAGCCCUUCACAGUUGCUCACAAAUAAUUUAAAAAAUCAGACCCAUAUGACUUCUUUCAGACAACCUCUUUAGAAUCUGCUUAAUGAUAAACAUAAGGGAGGUUCAGCUGGUUUGAAUAUGAGUUCACUUCUGAAUAAUCAUGUAUUUAAUUGCUUUACUAAAUGGAACAAUAGCUUCCAGUCAGCAAUAGCAUGUAAGCCUCUCUGCUUAACUUCACCUUUAGAUGUUUUUUGAGUAGGGAUGUGUUUUGGCUGUGGGUCCCCCGCGCCCAAAGGAUGUGAUUGAUCCAGAAGAAGGAUGUUUUGGAAGGUGUGCGCAGCAGUGUCACGAGAUACGGGAGGCAAGCUAAAUGUGGGGGGGACUUCUGCAGUUCUGUAAGGAGAGAAACAAGGGGUAAAUGGCUCUUAAAUGGAAGAAUACUAAAAGCUCCCCCCAUUUUGGGGGGGUGGCCUACUUGCAGGGGCUGGCCAGGGAUGGACGAGGUGUGCUAUCUGCACCUGUGAAGCUUCGUUGAGGAGAAGGUGGCGAUGCUGAUAAGGUGCAUUGUGAAAAAGAGAAAUGCAGGCUGCAGGGCCUCAGGGAGCACCCUGUGAGUGCUGGGGAAGUUGAGUGUUUGAUCUGUAAGAUAUGGUUCUGGCCCUCUGCCUUCCAAGAAAUCUCUGUGGGGCAGGUCAUUUGUUCCCAAAUGUCUUCCAGCAGGAGCCUUGUUUUAUGUGCUGAUGGUGAGGCAUCUUCCUCGCAGCCUGUUCCCUCGUGUGCUUCACUUAUCUCACCGCUUUCCCAGAUUCUCAUGCCCUUUGUUUUCUUCUGCCUUAUGACCUUCUCAAUUUUCCCCCUCCCAACUUUUUUAUUGUUACUUUAAAAAAAA